GUUACAGUCCUGCUUUAUUUCUUUGUCAUUUUCAAUUAAAUUGCCAAGCACAAUAAGACAGCUGUGUUGUAAGGAGACGAAAUUCGAGACAGGGGUGUUAUUUCAAUGAAGCGCGUGGUCAAAGGAACCGGGUGGAAGACGGUGGAAGGGAAAUUAUAUGUAAAUGUUUGUCGCAGUUUUACACAUAUUCCAUAACCAUGGUUAAUAAAUGGUCAGACACGUCACUGGCUUUAAAAUAUAAACCCCAUUGAUGCAAAAAGAUGCUGCAUGGAAUGACAAUGUGGUUUGGAACAGACUUGGUGAAGAACAUGGAAACAUCUCUUAAUAAAAUGGCCCCAAACAUCAUCAGGAGUGCAAAAGAAGGAAGUAAAAAACAUAUCUACGCCAAUCUCAUUGGAGAGGAAACCACAGAAGGUCUGGUGAGGAAUGCUGCACUUAUGUUAUUGCAAGCAUUAUUUCAAGAAAAUCCCAGCUUCCUUUACUGUGUAAAUAGUGAACCCAAAGGUCCCACACCAACCAUAGUGUUCAACGGCUCUCCUGAUCUUUUCAAAUCUGAAAGUAUCAACUUUAUAAUGGACAGUGUGAACUUAAUAUGUGGAAGACAUUGACAUCACAGGCUGUGGAAUGACUGUGUCACAGGUCGGAGAAGCGGACCGCCCCUGUCGCGGAUCACGCUCCUCCUAGUUCCACCUCGAGGAGGUCCCAAAGCACCCCAAUGACCAGACAAACCAGAGGGGGAGUAUUACGGGGCCAGGGACAUUGGAGGGGUUUCCACGUGACUCCAGCUGGAACACCGCUACAGAGCGUAUCUGGGUGGGUUGGGCACACACCGUCGCGGCGGCCCCUGAUGGCAUCCACAAGGGUCCAAGACCCUCCUAAGCUCCUAGCCGUAGCAGAACUACGUAUUUCAGCACCCGAAGGACUAACAACCCAGCCGGCAUCUGCAGCGUAUAUCCAACGCGAUCAAACUUCACUCUGACAAGUAACUUCCUAUACACAACCACGCCGUCCUUUCGCCCGGACCAGCCCCGCACUCUUUCCGCCCGCUACCUAGCGGUCGCCGGAUCAGCAGAGCCUGCGGACUCUUCGGAGGCUGGUCUUCGUUGUGCUGCCCAAGGCGGAAGUUGACUCGCCCGAAAAUCGACCCUUCCAGUAACUUCUACCUUCUCUCUUUAUAUCCUCCUCCCAGGCGUGGCUCGCCCAACCAUCGCUCGCCACGUCACUUACACAGCUGUGCCUUGUUUCAGCGAGUGCGGGGAUUCCCGGGGAACCCUGAAGUGCCGGUGUCUGUACAAACCGGUCCGGGCGGAACCUCUUCACUCUCCUUUUGGUUCCGCCCCGCAUAGUCACUCCGUGACAACUGUUUGCGGUUUUUUUUCUCCUCAAUGUUCAAUACCCUUUUGCCAUUAAGCACACAGUGACUUUAAUUUAUAAAAUAUAUGCUUAAGUUUUAAUACCUGUACAAAACAAAUGUACAAUCAACUUGUGUAAAUUUUAAUAAAAAUUUAAGCUUUAAUUGCUUGUUCAUGUUAGUUCAGAGUGCAUUAACUAAUGUUAACAAGAUUUUAAUAAAGUAAUUGUUGAAAUUAACAUUAACAAAGAUUAAUAAAGGCUGUAUAAGUGCAGUUCAUUAUUAGUUCAUGUUAACUAAUGUAGCUAACUAAUGUUAACUAAUGAACCUUAUUGUAAAGUGUUACCGUGAUUUCUUUUCAUCAUUUCAGACACAUGUAAAAGUUACUAAACAUUAAUACUGCAUAUACUGUACAGUAUUUAUGCGUAAGGGAAAUAACUUAAACAAAAUUUUUAAUGUAUAGUGUAAUUAAGAGUUUAGCUGUUUAAUACAGAGAAUUUAUUUAUAUAUAUUAUUUAUAUAUAAACGUAUGUAUGUUUAUUAAAAAGUGAAAAUGCUUAAUGGAAAUAAUUAAAUAACUAAAUGGUUGAAUGUAAUGAGACAUUUUAAAUGUAAACUAAAGUUUUGCUGUCUAAUACAGAAUAAAGAGAUGUGAUUUUAAGUAA